UUGUUUGUGUGUUCAAAUCUUAGAAUAAAAGAAUGGACAUAGUAUCUUCUGAAGCCUUUUCUACUCCUGUGAUAUUUUUCAUUUUCAAGUAUGAUACAAGUCUAAAGAAGAUAAACAUGCCCUGCUUUUAUCAGGUGCUUUGUGUGCAGUGGCAUGUAAUUAGCCAACAGCUUGGGGCUUGAUUAAAAUGUCACAUUUUAUAAAUUUAUGGUCAUCUUCUAUGCCUUCCUGAAAUUGAAAGACUCAGAAUUCGACUCGACCUACAUGCCAGGUGUCCUAGCAGAUGUGCCAUGGCAGCUCACUGACUCCAAGCACACAGGCUGAGCCUGCAUCACAUGACUGCCCUGUGAAGGACCCACACCUAUUCCACAGAUGACAAAUGGAGGAGAGAUGGAUUGCUGAGUGAUUGUGAGAAGAAGGCAGAAUGGAUGCUAAGUUACAAACUACAGCAAAAUCAAAUAUAUCUAGAUAUACUUCUUAACUCUACUAGUUAUUCUCUAAAUUUAGAUGUGUUAAUAUUUCUGAUCCUCAGUGUGCUCUUUCAAUAACUGGAGAUGAAAUUCUCUGUCCAUAUGUUUACUGGGAAGUUGAUAUGAGAUAAAAUAUGUAAAAUCCUUUAUAUAUCUUAGGAAUCCUUUAUAUAUCUUAUCUGCUUUUAUUAUUAUGAAAAUGAUUAUAAUAACCAUACUUUAACUGAACAGCACUUAUUUUUACAUUAUAUCACCUAUCCUUAUGUUGUGCCCAUGACACAUGUAUGUUUGAAUUGGAAAUUGUCUGUCUUUGUUUCUUUUUAUUUUUUUCACUUUUACUGAGAAACAAUUGCUAUACAUCCUUGUAAGAUUAAGGUAUACAGCCUGAUAGAUUGGUUUAUGUAUAUUGUGAAGUCAUAAGCAAGAUAGAUUAAGCUAAGACCCUUCUCAUAUAGAUACAGAAAAAAUUUGCUUGUGAUAAGAAAUUUUAUGAUUUACUCUUUUAACAACUUUCCUAAAUAUUAUAUAGUAGUAUUAAUUAUAGUCAUCAUGUUGUACAUUACAUCCCUAAUACUGAUUUAUCUUGUGACUGAAAGUUUGUGUGAUUUGACCAUCUUCCUCCAUUUUCCCUUGUCCCCACACCCCACUUCUGUAGCCAAAAAUGUGAGCUUUUUUUCUAUGAAUUUGGUGGAUUUUUGUUUUACAGGUUUU